rnacentral:rRNA from 1 species
UACGUAGGGGGCGAGCGUUGUCCGGAUUUAUUGGGCGUAAAGAGCGUGUAAGCGGCCAGGUAGGUCUGCUGUGAAAACUCGAGGCUCAACCUCGAGACGUCGGCGGAAACCAUCUGGCUAGAGUCCGGAAGAGGAGAGUGGAAUUCCUGGUGUAGCGGUGAAAUGCGCAGAUAUCAGGAAGAACACCCGUGGCGAAGGCGGCUCUCUGGGACGGUACUGACGCUGAGACGCGAAAGCGUGGGGAGCGAACAGG